AUUGAACGCUGGCGGCAUGCCUUACACAUGCAAGUCGAACGGUAACAGGUCUUCGGAUGCUGACGAGUGGCGAACGGGUGAGUAAUACAUCGGAACGUGCCUAGUAGUGGGGGAUAACUACUCGAAAGAGUGGCUAAUUCCGCAUGAGAUCUACGGAUGAAAGCAGGGGAUCGCAAGACCUUGUGCUACUAGAGCGGCCGAUGGCAGAUUAGGUAGUUGGUGGGAUAAAAGCUUACCAAGCCGACGAUCUGUAGCUGGUCUGAGAGGACGGUCAGCCACACUGGGACUGAGACACGGCCCAGACGCCUACGGGAGGCAGCAGUGGGGAAUUUUGGACAAUGGGCGAAAGCCUGAUUCAGCAAUGCCGCGUGCAGGAUGAAGGCCUUCGGGUUGUAAACUGCUUUUGUACGGAACGAAAAGCCCCGGGUUAAUACCCUGGGGUCAUGACGGUACCGUAAGAAUAAGCACCGGCUAACUACGUGCCAGCAGCCGCGGUAA
rnacentral:rRNA from 1 species